GUUAGCUGCCAGGUAACUAGCUGCCAGGUAACUAGCUGCCAGGUUAGCUCCAAGGUAAUUAGCUGCCAAGUUAGCUUCCAGGUAACUAGCUGCCAAGUUAGCUUCCAGGUAACUAGCUGCCAAGUUAGCUUCCAGGUAACUAGCUCCCAG